rnacentral:rRNA from 1 species
GGGUUGUGAGGUUAAGCGACUAAGCGUACACGGUGGAUGCCCUGGCAGUCAGAGGCGAUGAAGGACGUGCUAAUCUGCGAAAAGCGUCGGUAAGGUGAUAUGAACCGUUACAGCCGGCGAUGUCCGAAUGGGGAAACCCAGUGCAAUUCGUUGCACUAUCGUUAACUGAAUACAUAGGUUAACGAGGCGAACCGGGGGAACUGAAACAUCUAAGUACCCCGAGGAAAAGAAAUCAACCGAGAUUCCCCCAGUAGCGGCGAGCGAACGGGGAGCAGCCCGGAGUCUGAAUCAGCUUGUGUGUUAGUGGAAGCGUCUGGAAAGUCGCAGGGUACAGGGUGAUACUCCCGUACACUAAAACACACAGGUUGUGAACUCGAAGAGUAGGGCGGGACACGUGGUAUCCUGUCUGAAUAUGGGGGGACCAUCCUCCAAGGCUAAAUACUCCUGACUGACCGAUAGUGAACCAGUACCGUGAGGGAAAGGCGAAAAGAACCCCGGCGAGGGGAGUGAAAAAGAACCUGAAACCGUGUACGUACAAGCAGUAGGAGCCCACUUGUUGGGUGACUGCGUACCUUUUGUAUAAUGGGUCAGCGACUUAUAUUCUGUAGCAAGGUUAACCGUAUAGGGGAGCCGCAGGGAAACCGAGUCUUAACUGGGCGUUAAGUUGCAGGGUAUAGACCCGAAACCCGGUGAUCUAGCCAUGGGCAGGUUGAAGGUUGGGUAACACUAACUGGAGGACCGAACCGACUAAUGUUGAAAAAUUAGCGGAUGACUUGUGGCUGGGGGUGAAAGGCCAAUCAAACCGGGAGAUAGCUGGUUCUCCCCGAAAGCUAUUUAGGUAGCGCCUCGUGAACUCAUCUUCGGGGGUAGAGCACUGUUUCGGCUAGGGGGUCAUCCCGACUUACCAACCCGAUGCAAACUACGAAUACCGAAGAAUGUUAUCACGGGAGACACACGGCGGGUGCUAACGUCCGUCGUGAAGAGGGAAACAACCCAGACCGCCAGCUAAGGUCCCAAAGUCAUGGUUAAGUGGGAAACGAUGUGGGAAGGCCCAGACAGCCAGGAUGUUGGCUUAGAAGCAGCCAUCAUUUAAAGAAAGCGUAAUAGCUCACUGGUCGAGUCGGCCUGCGCGGAAGAUGUAACGGGGCUAAACCAUGCACCGAAGCUGCGGCAGCGACACUAUGUGUUGUUGGGUAGGGGAGCGUUCUGUAAGCCGUUGAAGGUGGCCUGUGAGGGUUGCUGGAGGUAUCAGAAGUGCGAAUGCUGACAUAAGUAACGAUAAUGCGGGUGAAAAACCCGCACGCCGGAAGACCAAGGGUUCCUGUCCAACGUUAAUCGGGGCAGGGUGAGUCGACCCCUAAGGCGAGGCCGAAAGGCGUAGUCGAUGGGAAACAGGUUAAUAUUCCUGUACUCGGUGUUACUGCGAAGGGGGGACGGAGAAGGCUAUGUUGGCCGGGCGACGGUUGUCCCGGUUUAAGCAUGUAGGCGGAUGUUCCAGGUAAAUCCGGAGCGUCACUAACGCUGAGGUGUGAUGACGAGGCACUACGGUGCUGAAGUGACAAAUGCCCUGCUUCCAGGAAAAGCCUCUAAGCAUCAGGUAACAUCAAAUCGUACCCCAAACCGACACAGGUGGUCAGGUAGAGAAUACCAAGGCGCUUGAGAGAACUCGGGUGAAGGAACUAGGCAAAAUGGUGCCGUAACUUCGGGAGAAGGCACGCUGAUGGUAAGUGAAGUGACUUGCUCAUGAAGCUGAAAUCAGUCGAAGAUACCAGCUGGCUGCAACUGUUUAUUAAAAACACAGCACUGUGCAAACACGAAAGUGGACGUAUACGGUGUGACGCCUGCCCGGUGCCGGAAGGUUAAUUGAUGGGGUUAUCCUCGCGGAGAAGCUCUUGAUCGAAGCCCCGGUAAACGGCGGCCGUAACUAUAACGGUCCUAAGGUAGCGAAAUUCCUUGUCGGGUAAGUUCCGACCUGCACGAAUGGCGUAAUGAUGGCCAGGCUGUCUCCACCCGAGACUCAGUGAAAUUGAACUCGCUGUGAAGAUGCAGUGUACCCGCGGCAAGACGGAAAGACCCCGUGAACCUUUACUAUAGCUUGACACUGAACACUGGUCCUUGAUGUGUAGGAUAGGUGGGAGGCUUUGAAGUGUGGACGCCAGUCUGCAUGGAGCCAUCCUUGAAAUACCACCCUUUAAUGGCUGGUGUUCUAACGUGGGCCCGUAAUCCGGGUUGCGGACAGUGUCUGGUGGGUAGUUUGACUGGGGCGGUCUCCUCCUAAAGAGUAACGGAGGAGCACGAAGGUCAGCUAAUCCUGGUCGGACAUCAGGAGGUUAGUGCAAUGGCAUAAGCUGGCUUGACUGCGAGCGUGACGGCGCGAGCAGGUGCGAAAGCAGGUCAUAGUGAUCCGGUGGUUCUGAAUGGAAGGGCCAUCGCUCAACGGAUAAAAGGUACUCCGGGGAUAACAGGCUGAUACCGCCCAAGAGUUCAUAUCGACGGCGGUGUUUGGCACCUCGAUGUCGGCUCAUCACAUCCUGGGGCUGAAGUAGGUCCCAAGGGUAUGGCUGUUCGCCAUUUAAAGUGGUACGCGAGCUGGGUUUAGAACGUCGUGAGACAGUUCGGUCCCUAUCUGCCGUGGGCGCUGGAGAAUUGAGGGGGGCUGCUCCUAGUACGAGAGGACCGGAGUGGACGCAUCACUGGUGUUCGGGUUGUCAUGCCAAUGGCAUUGCCCGGUAGCUAAAUGCGGAAGAGAUAAGUGCUGAAAGCAUCUAAGCACGAAACUUGCCCCGAGAUGAGUUCUCCCUGACCCUUUAAGGGUCCUGAAGGAACGUUGAAGACGACGACGUUGAUAGGCCGGGUGUGUAAGCGCAGCGAUGCGUUGAGCUAACCGGUACUAAUGAACCGUGAGGCUUAACCUUACAACGCCGAAG